AGCCAUCAGCCCAGAGCCUGACGCGGGGCUCGAACUCACGGACCGCGAGAUCGUGACCUGGCUGAAGUCGGACGCUUAACCGACUGCGCCACCCAGGCGCCCCGGCAUCAUGUUGUUUCUUGUAGAUUGCCAUGUUUAUUCUGGGCAUUGUGGGAGAGAGAUGUGCCGGUGAAUGGUGUCUCCUGGAUGAGUCCCUCAGCAUACCCUGCUCUUCAGGGACAUAGUUCCAGAAAGAAAAGUGGAAACAGUAAAAGAAGAAGGAGAAGAAGAAGGAGGAGGAGAAGAAAAAGAAACCUAUAUGUGAAUUAGCAGACACUCAGAAAAUGAGUACUUCACAUCACUGCCCUCACUCAUUCCUAUAGGCACCGAGCAAGCUGCUGUGGGGUGGGGUAGAAAAGAGCAUAGAUCUCAUGAUAGUGCCGACAUGGAUUCAGUGCUAACCCUGCUAUUUACCAGCCAUGUGCCAUCCCUCUGAGCUACAAUGUAUUUAUUAAAUAAAGAUAUUAAUAUACACA